AUUUCUACGGAUUAAUUCAAUGGCAGCUCACUUUCUCCUUUUAUGAUCGGAUGGGUCCGAAAGUGAGGAAAAAGACAAUUGUCUACAAAGAAAGAGGCUGCCAAGUGGAGACAGAAAAGCAGUUAUGAGACUGAUGAUAGAUACCAAUUUGUUAUCAUACACGGGUGCUCUAGAUUUUCCUAUCAAUAGAGGGCGUCCUCGAGUCAUUGCAAAUCCUGGUGUCGUUAAACGGAACUGUUCUUCAGAGGAAAAACUUCAUGUCUAUAAGAAAGGAAGGAGGAGACCUGAACAGUACAUCCAGAGAAUCCAGCAAAGCAUACCACGGCAUGAAUGUGCAAGUGGAUAGAAUUAAAACACAUGCCAGAAACACUAA
rnacentral:antisense_RNA from 1 species